AUGAUCCCUGUGGGGCAUGGUUAAAUUUUGAGAAAGUUUUGCCAAAGUUAUGACGUACAUUGCUUAAAAAUCGAAUCAUCUCCGAGAAGAAACAUGGUUUCGAGAGAGACGGGUCUAGUUUGAAGGCGACGCAACCGAUGCUUCAUCUGUUGGCACUGAAAGUUUUUCUACACCCAGGAUACACCAUUACAUGAUCCAUGUGAAAUUUUGGUAUCUUUCGGAACCUGUUUGCUAUAUUUAAGCCAUCAAGUGCAUUUCUAGAUAUUUAACGCUUUCUAAUUUGAAAUGCAAGUGGUUGAAAAAGGUUGGCAAAAUUAGAUUCAGAAAAUAUAUUUUGUGUUCUUGAGCGUAUGUUUAGGCCUUAUAUAAGAAAACAAAGGAUUCAAAACAUGAGAGUGCCAAGACUUGACCCUUAACAUUGAGUUUUUUGUUUUUUAAUUUCAAAAAAUGAAACUCUUCAAAGCAUGAAAAUUUAUGUUGGAAAAUAUGUUCAUAUAUUUGCCUCCAAAUAGAGUAGAAAAAAAUAGAUUCCAUUUAAAUUUAUCCAUGUAAGAACAAAGUAAUUUAAAAACAUAAAACUAAGAGAAUAAGCAAAAAAACAAAAACCAAAUAAAUAAAUAAUACCUAUGUGUUUUUAACCGACUACCUCCCUACCUUACUAGCGCAAACAAACCAGUUGUAUUAAGUAACGAUUUUAGUCAAAAUAACACACCGGACAUUCUUAUAGUUACAGAAGAUUUUUAUAGGCUCCUGCUUUCUGAUUGGUCGAACCAGGCCUCCCACGGAUCACGCUUCUCCACCAUCCAUUCUUACCCGAUCCAACGGUCCCUGCUCUUUCUACUACUCUAUUUGUGCUUUCCCUGAUCCUUAUCUUCUCACACGUACGCGAGCACCGUACAAGUAGUAGCCGCGCCGCCGCGCCCGAGGAACCUCUGAGCUCGCCGCCGUUCGCGCGACGGGCUGCCAUCCGCGCCUCCCGCCGCAGCACGCCGCAAUGGAGGCCGAGCCCCCAUGGUGGUACCCGAGAUCACCUCCCAGCCGCUGUUCUCCUUCGAAUUCGUCGGGAUCCGGCCGGAUCCGGCAGGAUCCGGACGUCGGCAACCCGUUCACGACCUCCUCGCCUCGCCUGGGUCGUUGGCCACUCCGAUGUCAUCAUCUCGCUCGCGAGAUCCAGCGCUACCGAUGGCUGGCCUCCUCCUCGCCCGGAUGUGACGUCCCCACACCGGCGCCUCCAACUUGAGCAGCAGCAGUGAACACGUCGGCAAGGGCGUCUCCGGCAUCGUCAUUAUUUUUAUUUUAUUUUAAAGAAGUUUGCCUCGCCAGAAAAGCAUAGCGACGAACUCUGAUUGAUUCCCCGCGAGCGCUGGGCGGUGCUUGAUGUGGUGGCUUUAGGGCUUGUACAAUGGGAGGUGCUUAGAGAAAUAAACCAGACUUAUUUGUACAGGAUAGACGCUUAACUAAGCGUCUCUCCGGUAGAAAUAGGCACCGGUACUUCAGAAAAUCUCGGUUUAUUUUUCUAAGCACCCCUCUAAGCAUCUUUCAUUGUACAAGGCCUUAGAGUGCCAAUUUUGGAAACAACAAUUUAUAAUUCCAAGUUUUUUUUCGGUGUA